CAAGUACCAGUGAACGAACCGGUUGAAUUCAACCAGACACCAACAAACAAUACGAGAGCUCAUCUCUAUUAGCACGUGCUUCAGAUCGUCCCUGUCAGCCUGCUUAUGGUCAUCUAGAAAAAACAACAACUAGAAGAACUACAGCUUAAACGUUUAAACACCUAUCUGCUUAUUGUAAAAUUUCUUAUAAUAUUCUAACAAACUUUCAUCUAUAAAUCUGAUAGCCAAUGAUCCUGAACAUGAGGAACUGGAGUCUUGCUGCUUUCUUGGCUUUAGUGGUAACUAUGACAGCUGCAAAUCCACCCAGCAGUGAUGAAAUACAGCUAACGAUGGACUCUGUAAACCGUGUCUUCAAUCGGAUGUUUCCCAUGGUUCCAAGUAAAACUCAUUACAUCCUGGAACUAGAUUCCAAAGACGACAACAACCUUCUGAAAAAUUAUAACAUUCCAGCUAAAUUAGUCAAUGACGAGUCUCUUCUUUCCGAUGAUGUUCCAACUAGGAGUCUGGAGUUGGGAUUUCACAAGCGAGGACCCAUAUGUAUGAGAAAUUGCAUCGCCCAAGGACUUCUUCACCCUGUCCAGUGUCAUUCGCUAUGUUAACAGAAGGAAUCCGAAAGUCGUCGAAUAUACCUCAGUGUUCCCUUCCCUCUUUCCAGCACCAAUGAAGAUACAUUUCUUCACGAAAGUAUCGGAAAAAAAGCGAAGACAUCUAUACCUAGUUUCAAUGGACGUGAACAAGUCAUUUUUAUAAGUAUAUAUACAAAUUUAAAAAAAUUAAAGGAAUGAAUAAUAAAAAGAUAUCUGAAGCUCUUUUACAGGUAAAACAAUUCAUAUUUUUAUGUACUUUUUUCCGCCCGAAAGCUAUUUGUUUUUUUGUAGAACCACGUUAAAAGCAUAGUCGUGUUAUAUAGUAAGCUACUUGUAGUGUUAGUCAUUAGUUUUAUCCGAGUGUUAUAUAUAUAUAUAUACCUGUAUACGCUUUUGAUGUGUUUAA